rnacentral:pre_miRNA from 1 species
UUUCUACUCCCUCCGUCCGAAAAUACUUGUCAUCAAAAUGGAUAAAAAGAGAUUUAUCUAAAACUAAAAUAUGUCUAGAUACAUUUCCUUUUAUCCAUUUUGAUGACAAGUAUUUCCGGACGGAGGGAGUAUUUG